AGGGGAGGGCCCGGAACCGGCAGCGGCAGCGGCCCGGGGAAACCGCGGAGAGGAGGGGGGGAGCGCGGGGAAAGUGGUGGGCCGGGUGAGGGGGGGGAGGGGCACGCGGCGGGCGCAGGCAGCCCGAAACCGGCGAGGACGGGGGGCGUCCGCCCCCAGGGCGCGAACCUCCCCGACGCCGCGGGAGCCAACCCAAGCCCGGAACGGCCCUUCAGGGGCGCCGUCCGGGCGGACAAAGGCGGCGCACAGCCGGGGAAUUUUCUCCAGCUAAUUUUACAGAUGAGAAAACUGAGGCAAACGGAACUUAAGUGACUAAACCAGAGUCAAAGAGAUUAAGCAACUAUGAGCAUGAAAACCAAAUGGGGCAGUUAAGUGGCAGAGUAAAUAGAGUACUUGCCUUGGAGUCAGGAGGACCGGACUUCAAAAGGGGUCUCAGAUACUUACUAGCUGUAUGACCUUGGGCAUUGUACUAAGAGCUAAUUAUAUGAAGACAAAAGACAAGAUCUACCCUCAAGAAACCCCCAGUCUAAUGAAUGAGAAGACAUGCAAAUGGCUAUGUAUAACAAGUAACAUCCAUGAUUAACUGGUAAUUUUGGGAGGGAGGCACUAAUAGUUGGGAGAAUCAGGAAGCGUUUUUGUAUAAAAGGUGAUGCUUGAGUUGAGAUUUGAAGGAAACAAGGAUUUCUAAGAGAUGGUAGGAAGAAGAACAUUUGUUGAAUGGAUAGGUGUGUGUAUUCAUUAAAUACAAUAAGUUAUGUUAAAGUUAUGUUAAAACUCUGGACCUCAGAGCAAAAUUUUGUCUCCUCAUCUUUUGCCAAUCCUUCAGGAGUAAGUUGGAAGAUGGUGAACAUCUAUACCGAAAGUUGUUACUUUUGAGAGAAUCCUCUACUUGGCAGAAGCUGGUUUAGUAAUUCUCCCCAAUUAAUCUUUGUUUUUGGUUUUAUAUGCCCAGAAUUGUACAAUACAUGAGAUAAGCAUAUAAAAAUUACUUUUUGAAUGAAUGAACAAACCCCAGGGAUAUCAAAACCUAAAGAAAAUGGAUUUGUUCCUGGGGCAUCCAAGAAGUUCAGUCUAGAGCAGGACUUAUUAAACUUUUUUGUGUGUCAUGGAUCCCUUUGGUGUUCUGGUGAAGUCUGUGAACUAUUCUCAGAUUAAUGUUUUAAAAUUAAAUCAAAAGAAAUAAUAUUUAAAUAAUAUUUGGCACAGUGCCUGACACAUAGUAGGCAAAUGCUUGUUUCCAUCUCCCCAUUAAACACAUAAAAUAAAAUACAUAGUAUUAAUAGAGAAAUCAAUUAUAUUAUCAAGCAGUUAUCAAAAAAAAUUUUUUAAAUAAGUUCAUACCUAAAAGCUUAAGGCCCUUUAGAAUUUUCAGUUGUAUUCAUCAGAUAUUUCUGAAAUGCUUAUUAUAUGAAAGGCACUGUUUUGGGCAUAGGAGGUUUCAGUGUUGGGAUUCAGAACUGGCUAUCAGGAUGAUUUCAGAGAUGCCUGCAGAGACUUACAUGAAUUGAUGCUAAGUGAAGUGACUAGAACCAGAAGAUCAUUGUACACAGCAACAGCAAGAUUAUAUGAUG